GCCUGGUGGCUCAGUCGGUUAAGCAUCUGACUUCGGCUCAGGUCAGGAUCUCAUGGUUCGUGGGUUCAAGCCCUGCAUCAGGCU
rnacentral:tRNA from 1 species